ensembl:lncRNA
AUCUAAAGCGGAACUCUGAACAAGUGCAACAGCUACUGGGAGAGAAGCAAAGAGGCGCUGAGAGGAGGAAAAGGAAAGCAUCAGGCACAAACAGACAGUGAGGGAGAGAAAGCGAGGAAGGAAAGGUUCCUUUUGGUUUAUCCUUUCUCAGGGACAUGGAAAAGCAAAAAGGUGGUAAACCUGUAAUUCUGGUGGUGAUGCAUCACACCUCCAAUCUUGAGCAUGUUGUAGCUGAAAGCUGGAGACAGGUGAAGAACGAGAAUGUCCACCUCACUGUGGAUUGUCUGGUUUAUAAGGGAAAACUGCUUGAUUGCAGCUUCAAUGAUAUCAUGUGGUGUAACAUUGGGAAGUUUUUCAGAGUUUCCAUUCACCAGCUCAUUCAGACUUCUAAGUGGCGAAAAUGCAGUUGUUACACUGACCCUCUGAUACUGGGUGUAGGUUUUAUAAUGUGUAUUAUGAUAGUGGCAACUGUGACUAUGGAAGUAGUGCGAAGGAUGAUUUAGAUGUUACUGAGCUGAAUGUUUUUUUUUUAUUAUCUGGAUCAUAAAAAAAGGAAAAUGAUAUAAUGAUAAGAGAUCUGCAACCUUAUGCACAGGGCUACAUGUUCAUUGAAAAAAUGUGUUGUGAGUUUGACAGUGAGAUCUGAGAUGCUAAAAUGUUCUAAAAGAAUAACUUGCUGCUCUUGUCCAAUACUUGUGUGAAAGAAAUCCUCUCUGAAGAGAUGGUCGUGUAAAGUUUGUAUCCAAUGUUUCAGCCAAAGGUGCUAUGAGAUUAAAGUUUUUUAAAGUUCAACAUGUGGCUAUAUUUCCGGUUCACAGUCUCUUUUUGCUUCUUCUUAAGCAAAGCAUUUCCCCUGUGUAUGGCUGUAUGAUAUAAUGUUCUGGUUAAGAUUUAGGUUUUAGUUGAACAGAUUAGUAAGUUUUAAAUAACAGCUCAGAAAGUAAGGAUGCUGUUUUGUGCAAUUUUAUUAAUUAUAUUUAAAUUAUCUGUGAUGAAUACAAAUCAAUUGUAUAUAGUAUUUUAUUUUAUUGUGUACAGUAUCUUAUUCUUAUUCUUAUCAUCUUAUCUUAUUUCAGUGUUUUGUUUUGUUUUCAAAUUUUUGCUAUGUAACUUUACACUGUCCACUUUCUGCUGUAACAAAUCAAAUUGCC